UACGGAGGGUGCGAGCGUUGUUCGGAAUCACUGGGCGUAAAGGGCGUGUAGGCGGUCCGUUAAGUCUGAUGUGAAAGCCCGGGGCUCACCCCCGGAAGUGCAUUGGAAACUGGCGGACUCGAGUCCCGGAGAGGAGAGUGGAAUUCCUGGUGUAGCGGUGAAAUGCGUAGAUAUCAGGAGGAACACCGGUGGCGAAGGCGGCUCUCUGGACGGUGACUGACGCUGAGACGCGAAAGCGUGGGGAGCAAACAGG
rnacentral:rRNA from 1 species